GCAAGGGUGGCAUAGUGGUUUCAGUGUUGGACUAUGACUCUGAAGACCAAGGUUCAAAUUUUUGCUUAGUCA